AGAGUUUGAUCAUGGCUCAAGAAUGAACGCUAGCGGCGUGCUUAACACAUGCAAGUCGUACGAGAACUCUUUAGCUUGCUAAAGAUAGUAAAGUGGCGCACGGGUGAGUAACGCGUGGGUAAUCUACCUCUGAAUUUGGGAUAACUCCGCGAAAGCGGGGCUAAUACCGGAUAAUAUUUCAGGAUUUUCGGGUCUUGAAAUCAAAAGUGGCCUCUACUUGUAAGCUACUGUUUGGAGAUGAGCCCGCGUACCAUUAGCUUGAUGGUAGGGUAAUGGCCUACCAAGGCUACGAUGGUUAGCUGGUCUGAGAGGAUGAUCUUCCACACUGGAACUGAUACACGGUCCAGACUCCUACGGGAGGCAG
rnacentral:rRNA from 1 species